AUUGAACGCUGGCGGCAGGCCUAACACAUGCAAGUCGAGCGGAUGGAGGGAGCCUGCUCCUGGAUUCAGCGGCGGACGGGUGAGUAAUGCCUAGGAAUCUGCCUGGUAGUGGGGGAUAACGUCCGGAAACGGGCGCUAAUACCGCAUACGUCCUGAGGGAGAAAGUGGGGGAUCUUCGGACCUCACGCUAUCAGAUGAGCCUAGGUCGGAUUAGCUAGUUGGUGGGGUAAAGGCCUACCAAGGCGACGAUCCGUAACUGGUCUGAGAGGAUGAUCAGUCACACUGGAACUGAGACACGGUCCAGACUCCUACGGGAGGCAGCAGUGGGGAAUAUUGGACAAUGGGCGAAAGCCUGAUCCAGCCAUGCCGCGUGUGUGAAGAAGGUUUUCGGAUUGUAAAGCACUUUAAGUUGGGAGGAAGGGCAGUAAGUUAAUACCUUGCUGUUUUGACGUUACCAACAGAAUAAGCACCGGCUAACUUCGUG
rnacentral:rRNA from 1 species